rnacentral:rRNA from 1 species
AUUGAACGCUGGCGGAAUGCUUUACACAUGCAAGUCGAACGGUAGAGGGGGCAACCCCUCGAGAGUGGCGAACGGGUGAGUAAUAUAUCGGAACGUGCCCAGUCGUGGGGGAUAACGUAGCGAAAGUUACGCUAAUACCGCAUACGAUCUAAGGAUGAAAGCGGGGGAUCGCAAGACCUCGCGCGAUUGGAGCGGCCGAUAUCAGAUUAGGUAGUUGGGGGGGUAAAGGCUCACCAAGCCAACGAUCUGUAGCUGGUCUGAGAGGACGACCAGCCACACUGGAACGGAGACACGGUCCAGACUCCUACGGGAGGCAGCAGUGGGGGAUUUUGGACAAUGGACGCAAGUCUGAUCCAGCCAUUCCGCGUGCAGGAUGAAGGCCCUCGGGUUGUAAACUGCUUUUGUACGGAACGAAAAGGUCUCUCUUAAUACGGGGGGCUCAUGACGGUACCGUAAGAAUAAGCACCGGCUAACUACGUGCCAGCAGCCGCCGUAA